rnacentral:rRNA from 1 species
UAAAAAGCUCGUAGUUGGAUCUGUGUAUCGGACGGUCGGUUCGCCGCUCGCGGCGUUUAACUGACCGGUCCGGACGUCCUGCCGGUGGGCGCGCGGGGCCCUUCGCGGGGUCCUCGUCGUCCGUUAACCUUCCCUUCGGGCUGCUCUUAACCGAGUGGUCCGGUGGGCCGGCACGUUUACUUUGAACAAAUUUGAGUGCUCAAAGCAGGCCUCGAGUCGCCUGAAAACUGUGUGCAUGGAAUAAUGGAAUAGGGCCUCUUUUCUAUUUUGUUGGCUUUUUUCUGAAAUAGAGGUAAUGAUUAAUAGGGACAGACGGGGGCAUUCGUAUUGCGACGUUAGAGGUGAAAUUCUUGGAUCGUCGCAAGACGGACGGAUGCGAAAGCGUUUGCCAAGAAUGUUUUCGCUAAUCAAGAACGAAAGUUAGAGGUUCGAAGGCGAUCAGAUACCGCCCUAGUUCUAACCAUAAACGAUGCCAGCCAGCGAUGCGCCGACGUUCCUCCGAUGACUCGGCGCGCAGCUUCCGGGAAACCAAAGCUUUUGGGUUCCGGGG